rnacentral:rRNA from 1 species
AUCAUUACAGAGUUCAUGCCCGAAAGGGUAGACCUCCCACCCUUGUGUAUUAAUACUUUGUUGCUUUGGCGAGCUGCCUUCGGGCCUUGUAUGCUCGCCAGAGAAUACCAAAACUCUUUUUAUUAAUGUCGUCUGAGUACUAUAUAAUAGUUAAAACUUUCAACAACGGAUCUCUUGGUUCUGGCAUCGAUGAAGAACGCAGCGAAAUGCGAUAAGUAAUGUGAAUUGCAGAAUUCAGUGAAUCAUCGAAUCUUUGAACGCACAUUGCGCCCCUUGGUAUUCCGGGGGGCAUGCCUGUUCGAGCGUCAUUUCAACCCUCAAGCUUAGCUUGGUAUUGAGUCUAUGUCAGUAAUGGCAGGCUCUAAAAUCAGUGGCGGCGCCGCUGGGUCCUGAACGUAGUAAUAUCUCUCGUUACAGGUUCUCGGUGUGCUUCUGCCAAAACCCAAAUUUUUCUAUGGUUGACC